AGUCCACCUCAAUGCCAGACAUCUAUAAAUUCAGGCUGUGCUGAGCAUCUAUCUAAAAUGGACUAAUAUAAAAUGGAGUUUUAAUAUCCUAGUGCCUGAAGAUAUCACUCUCUUCUUGCUCUCUUGGAACUUAAAACUACAACUA
rnacentral:snoRNA from 1 species